rnacentral:rRNA from 1 species
AUUGAACGCUGGCGGCAGGCCUAACACAUGCAAGUCGAGCGGAUGAAGGGAGCUUGCUCCUGGAUUCAGCGGCGGACGGGUGAGUAAUGCCUAGGAAUCUGCCUGGUAGUGGGGGAUAACGUCCGGAAACGGGCGCUAAUACCGCAUACGUCCUGAGGGAGAAAGUGGGGGAUCUUCGGACCUCACGCCAUCAGAUGAGCCUAGGUCGGAUUAGCUAGUUGGUGGGGUAAAGGCCUACCAAGGCGACGAUCCGUAACUGGUCUGAGAGGAUGAUCAGUCACACUGGAACUGAGACACGGUCCAGACUCCUACGGGAGGCAGCAGUGGGGAAUAUUGGACAAUGGGCGAAAGCAUGAUCCAGCCAUGCCGCGUGUGUGAAGAAGGUCUUCGGAUUGUAAAGCACUUUAAGUUGGGAGGAAGGGCAGUAAGUUAAUACCUUGCUGUUUUGACGGUACCAACAGAAUAAGCACCGGCUAACUUCGUG